AACGAACGCUGGCGGCGUGCCUAACACAUGCAAGUCGAGCGCGAAUGGGGCAACCCUAGUAGAGCGGCGCACGGGUGCGUAACACGUGGAUAAUCUGCCUGGAUGCCUGGGAUAACCAGUCGAAAGAUUGGCUAAUACCGGAUAAGCCCACGGUUUCUUCGGAGACUGAGGGAAAAGGUGGCCUCUGUAUACAAGCUAUCACAACCAGAUGAGUCCGCGGCCCAUCAGCUAGUUGGCGGGGUAAUGGCCCACCAAGGCAACGACGGGUAGCUGGUCUGAGAGGACGAUCAGCCACACUGGAACUGAGACACGGUCCAGACUCCUACGGGAGGCAGCAGUGGGGAAUUUUGCGCAAUGGGCGAAAGCCUGACGCAGCAACGCCGCGUGUGUGAUGAAGGUCUUUGGAUUGUAAAGCACUUUCGACCGGGACGAAAACCCGAAGCCUAAUACGCUUCGGCUUGACGGUACCGGGAGAAGAAGCACCGGCUAACUCUGUGCCAGCCGCCGCCGUAAAAC
rnacentral:rRNA from 1 species